rnacentral:rRNA from 1 species
AUUGAACGCUGGCGGCAUGCUUUACACAUGCAAGUCGAACGGCAGCGCGGGCUUCGGCCUGGCGGCGAGUGGCGAACGGGUGAGUAAUGCAUCGGAACGUGCCCAGUAGUGGGGGAUAGCCCGGCGAAAGCCGGAUUAAUACCGCAUACGACCUGAGGGGGAAAGCGGGGGACCGAAAGGCCUCGCGCUAUUGGAGCGGCCGAUGUCGGAUUAGCUAGUUGGUGGGGUAAAGGCUUACCAAGGCGACGAUCCGUAGCUGGUCUGAGAGGACGACCAGCCACACUGGGACUGAGACACGGCCCAGACUCCUACGGGAGGCAGCAGUGGGGAAUUUUGGACAAUGGGGGCAACCCUGAUCCAGCCAUGCCGCGUGCGGGAAGAAGGCCUUCGGGUUGUAAACCGCUUUUGUUCGGGAAGAAAUCCUCUGGGCUAAUACCCCGGGGGGAUGACGGUACCGGAAGAAUAAGCACCGGCUAACUACGUG